AUGAAGUGGUGCCAAGCUUCUUGCAUUCUCUGUGACAAGAGAGUGCCACAAAAGCUAAAAGGCAAGUUCUAUAGGACGACGCUUCGACCUGCAAUGUUGUAUGGUGCUGAGUGUUGGUCAACUAAAAGACGACAUGUUCAACAGUUAAAUGUGGCUGAGAUGCGCAUGUUGAGAUGGAUGUGUGGCCACACGAGGAAGGACCAAGUCUGGAAUGAUGAUAUACAAGAUAGAGUUGGGCUAGCACCGAUUGAUGAGAAGCUUGUCCAACAUCGUCUGAGAUGGUUUGGGCAUAUUCAGCGCAUGCCUCCAGAAGCUCCCGUGCAUAGCGGGCGGCUAAAGCGUGCUGAUAAUGUCAAGAGAGUUAGUGGUAGACCAUGCUUGACUUGGGAGCAGGGGUGGGCAUUCGGUACAAACCGAAAGUUCGGUUUAUACCGUUCGGUUAAUUCUUAA
rnacentral:rRNA from 1 species